UUUGAACUUUUGCAUUAAGAAUCAUCUAAAUUGGAAUGAUAGAAAAUUAGAUUGGCCCCUGUUCAAGGGUGACACAUAAAUUCACAAAGCGCGUAUUUUUUUA